rnacentral:rRNA from 1 species
CUACGGGCCGCAACAGUGGGGAAUAUUGGACAAUGGGGGAAACCCUGAUCCAGCAAUGCCGCGUGUGUGAAGAAGGCCUGCGGGUUGUAAAGCACUUUCGGUUGGGAGGACUGCUUCUAGCACUAAUAUUGUUGGAAGUUGACGUUACCUUCAGAAGAAGCACCGGCUAACUCCGUGCCAGCAGCCGCGGUAAUACGGAGGGUGCAAGCGUGAAUCGGAAUUACUGGGCGUAAAGCGCGCGUAGGCGGCUAGAUCAGUCGGGUGUGAAAGCCCCGGGCUUAACCUGGGAACUGCAUCCGAUACUGUCUAGCUUGAGUACAGGAGAGGAGAGUGGAAUUCCACAUGUAGCGGUGAUAUGCGUAGAUAUGUGGAGGAACACCAAUGGCGAAGGCAGCUCUCUGGCCUGAUACUGACGCUGAGGUGCGAAAGCGUGGGGAGCAAACAGGAUUAGAUACCCGCGUAGUC